rnacentral:lncRNA from 1 species
CAGAAGCAGCUCCAUUUCCAUUCACUUUCUUCAACAAUUCACGCUCUCUCUCUUCAAUCACCAAACUCUCUUCUCUAAUAGCCCGAACUCGAGUGCGAAGGAGGAGAGUGUUCUUAUACUGUUUAGAAGAAAAAGAAAAUCUCGAGAGGUUAAGGCGGCGUUUAGGAGUCGGUUGUGGAGAGAGGAAAGUGAGUUCUGGUAGAGGCAACAACGAAGCCAUUAAUGGAGAUUUUCACAGUUGAAACGUAGAAACCAAAAGAAGCUGAUCAAAUCUAAACCCUAAUUCUCAUGAUUUAUGAGAGAGAGAAAGAGGGAGAGAAUGAGCGAGGGGUU